rnacentral:rRNA from 1 species
GAUUGAACGCUGGCGGCAUGCCUUACACAUGCAAGUCGAACGGCAGCACGGGUGCUUGCACCUGGUGGCGAGUGGCGAACGGGUGAGUAAUACAUCGGAACAUGUCCUGUAGUGGGGGAUAGCCCGGCGAAAGCCGGAUUAAUACCGCAUACGAUCUACGGAUGAAAGCGGGGGACCUUCGGGCCUCGCGCUAUAGGGUUGGCCGAUGGCUGAUUAGCUAGUUGGUGGGGUAAAGGCCUACCAAGGCGACGAUCAGUAGCUGGUCUGAGAGGACGACCAGCCACACUGGGACUGAGACACGGCCCAGACUCCUACGGGAGGCAGCAGUGGGGAAUUUUGGACAAUGGGCGAAAGCCUGAUCCAGCAAUGCCGCGUGUGUGAAGAAGGCCUUCGGGUUGUAAAGCACUUUUGUCCGGAAAGAAAUCCUUGGCUCUAAUACAGUCGGGGGAUGACGGUACCGGAAGAAUAAGCACCGGCUAACUACGUGCCAGCAGCCGCGGUAAUACGUAGGGUGCGAGCGUUAAUCGGAAUUACUGGGCGUAAAGCGUGCGCAGGCGGUUUGCUAAGACCGAUGUGAAAUCCCCGGGCUCAACCUGGGAACUGCAUUGGUGACUGGCAGCUAGAGUAUGGCAGAGGGGGGUAGAAUUCCACGUGUAGCAGUGAAAUGCGUAGAGAUGUGGAGGAAUACCGAUGGCGAAGGCAGCUCCCCUGGGCCCAAUACUGACGCUCAUGCACGAAAGCGUGGGGGAGCAAACAGGAUUAGAUACCUGGUAGUCCACGCCCUAAACGAUGUCAACUAGUUGUUGGGGAUUCAUUUCCUUUAGUAACGUAGCUAACGCGUGAAGUUGACCGCUGGGGAGUACGGUCGCAAGAUUAAAACUCAAAGGAAUUGACGGGGACCCGCACAAGCGGUGGAUGAUGUGGAUUAAUUCGAUGCAACGCGAAAAACCUUACCUACCCUUGACAUGGUCGGAAUCCUGCUGAGAGGUGGGAGUGCUCGAAAGAGAACCGGCGCACAGGUGCUGCAUGGCUGUCGUCAGCUCGUGUCGUGAGGUGUUGGGUUAAGUCCCGCAACGAGCGCAACCCUUGUCCUUAGUUGCUACGCAAGAGCACUCUAAGGAGACUGCCGGUGACAAACCGGAGGAAGGUGGGGAUGACGUCAAGUCCUCAUGGCCCUUAUGGGUAGGGCUUCACACGUCAUACAAUGGUCGGAACAGAGGGUUGCCAACCCGCGAGGGGGAGCUAAUCCCAGAAAACCGAUCGUAGUCCGGAUUGCACUCUGCAACUCGAGUGCAUGAAGCUGGAAUCGCUAGUAAUCGCGGAUCAGCAUGCCGCGGUGAAUACGUUCCCGGGUCUUGUACACACCGC